AUACGUAGGGUGCGAGCGUUGUCCGGAAUUACUGGGCGUAAAGAGCUCGUAGGUGGUUUGUCGCGUCGUCUGUGAAAUUCCGGGGCUUAACUCCGGGCGUGCAGGCGAUACGGGCAUAACUUGAGUACUGUAGGGGAGACUGGAAUUCCUGGUGUAGCGGUGAAGUGCGCAGAUAUCAGGAGGAACACCGGUGGCGAAGGCGUGUCUCUGGGCAGUAACGUAAGUUGAGGAGCGAAAGCAUGGGUAGCGAACGGGAUUGGAUACCCUGGUAGUCCAUGCCGUAAACGGUGGGCGCUAGGUGUAGGGGUCUUCCACGACUUCUGUGCCGUAGUUAACGCAUUAAGCGCCCCGCCUGGGGAGUACGGCCGCAAGGCUAAAACUCAAAGGAAUUGACGGGG
rnacentral:rRNA from 1 species